ensembl:lncRNA
AAAGGGAACCGAUUCCCUCCGACCACCAACCUGAGGCAUUGUCUCUGUGUUUUUCCGGACAUUUUUUCCACACGACCAGCUAUCGAAUUUACAUCGCCUCCUGAUGAUUUUUAUAGCUUAUUAACGUGUAGUAAUACCUAAAGUUGCAUUAGAAAGGUAUUUCGAAGUGUUUUGUGAAAGUUUAUCGUCGACUUUUUAACUUUUAAAAAAUGACGUUACGUUAUGAAACGCUAUUUUUUUCAGUUUAUCACACAGUCUUCAUAGAUCGAUAUCUAGGCUAUAUAUGGACCGAUUUAAUCCAAAAAAGACCCAGUAUUGAUUAUGGGACAUCAAGGUGUGCCAAGAAAGAAGAUGGUCAAAGGACCUGAGCCCUAGGACUACCUGACAUGAUGACUCCUUGCUGUCCCCAGUCCACCUGGCCGUGCUGCUGCUCCAGUUUCAACUGUUCUGCCUUAUUAUUAUUCGACCAUGCUGGUAAUUUAUGAACAUUUGAACAUCUUGGCCAUGUUCUGUUAUAAUCUCCACCCGGCACAGCCAGAUUCCCUGAUCCACCUCUACGCAGACGACACCAUUCUAUAUACUUCCGGCCCGUCCUUGGACACUGUGCUAUCUAACCUCCAAACGAGCUUCAAUGCCAUACAACACUCCUUCCGUGGCCUCCAACUGCUCUUAAACGCUAGUAAAACCAAAUGCAUGCUUUUCAACCGUUCGCUGCCUGCACCCGCACGCCUGACCAGCAUCACCACCCUGGAUGGUUCCGACCUUGAAUAUGUGGACAUCUAUAAGUACCUAGGUGUCUGGCUACCUCUAGUGGUGUGGGAGCUGUGCUUUGGCAGAGUGGGUGGGGUUAUAUCCUUCCUGUUUGGCCCUGUCCGGGGGUGUCCUCGGAUGGGGCCACAGUGUCUCCUGACCCCUCCUGUCUCAGCCUCCAGUAUUUAUGCUGCAGUAGUUUAUGUGUCGGGGGGCUAGGGUCAGUUUGUUAUAUCUGGAGUACCUCUCCUGUCCUAUUCGGUGUCCUGUGUGAAUCUAGGUGUGCGUUCUCUAAUUCUCUCUUUCUCUCUUUCUCUCUCUCUCUCGGAGGACCUGAGCCCUAGGACCAUGCCCCAGGACUACCUGACAUGAUGACUCCUUGCUGUCCCCAGUCCAGCUGGCCGUGCUGCUGCUCCAGUUUCAACUGACCUGAGCCCUAGGACCAUGCCCCAGGACUACCUGACAUGAUGACUCCUUGCUGUCCCCAGUCCACCUGGCUGUGCUGCUGCUCCAGUUUCAACUGUUCUGCCUUAUUAUUAUUUGACCAUGCUGGUCAUUUAUGAACAUUUGAACAUCUUGGCCAUGCUCUGUUAUAAUCUCCACCCGGCACAGCCAGAAGAGGACUGGCCACCCCACAUAUGCUCUCUCUAAUUCUCUCUUUCUUUCUCUCUCUCGGAGGACCUGAGCGCUAGGACCAUGCCCCAGGACUACCUGACACGAUGACUCCUUGCUGUCCCCAGUCCACCUGACCGUGCUGCUGCUCCAGUUUCAACUGUUCUGCCUUAUUAUUAUACGACCAUGCUGGUCAUUUAUGAACAUUUGAACAUCUUGGCCAUGUUCUGUUAUAAUCUCCACCCGGCACAGCCAGAAGAGGACUGGCCACCCCACAUAGCCUGGUUCCUCUCUAGGUUUCUUCCUAGGUUUUGGCCUUUCUAGGGAGUUUUUCCUAGCCACCGUGCUUCUACACCUGCAUUGCUUGCUGUUUGGGGUUUUAGGCUGGGUUUCUGUACAGCACUUUGAGAUAUCAGCUGAUGUACGAAGGGCUAUAUAAAUAAAUUUGAUUUGAUUUGGCUAGACUGUAAACUCUCCUUCCAGACUCAUAUCAAACAUCUCCAAUCGAAAAUCAAAUCAAGAGUCGGCUUUCUAUUCCGCAACAAAGCCUCCUUCACUCACGCCGCCAAACGUACCCUAGUAAAACUGACUAUCCUACCGAUCCUCGACAUCGGCGAUGUCAUCUACAAAAUUGCUUCCAACACUCUACUCAGCAAACUGGAUGCAGUUUAUCACAGUGCCAUCCGUUUUGUCACUAAAGCACCUUAUACCACCCACCACUGCGACUUGUAUGCUCUAGUCGGCUGGCCCUCGCUACAUAUUCGUCGCCAGACCCACUGGCUCCAGGUCAUCUACAAGUCCAUGCUAGGUAAAGCUCCGCCUUAUCUCAGUUCACUGGUCACGAUGGCAACACCCAUCCGUAGCACGCGCUCCAGCAGGUGUAUCUCACUGAUCAUCCCUAAAGCCAACACCUCAUUUGGCCGCCUUUCGUUCCAGUUCUCUGCUGCCUGUGACUGGAACGAAUUGCAAAAAUCGCUGAAGUUGGAGACUUUUAUCUCCCUCACCAACUUCAAACAUCUGCUAUCUGAGCAGUUAACCGAUCGCUGCAGCUGUACAUAGUCUAUCGGUAAAUAGCCCACCCAUUUUUACCUACCUCAUCCCCAUACUGUUCUUAUUUAUUUACUUUUCUGCUCCUUUGCACACCAAUAUCUCUACCUGUACAUUACCAUCUGAUCAUUUAUCACUCCAGUGUUAUUAAUCUGCAAAAUUGUAAUUAUUCGCCAACCACCUCAUGCCUUUUGCACACAAUGUAUAUAGACUCCCCUUUUUUUCUACUGUGUUAUUGACUUGUUAAUUGUUUACUCCAUGUGUAACUCUG